GGAGGAGCUCGAUAGAAAUUCGACUCAGAGUUAUGGGUGAGAUUUCUGGCCCAGAGUAAGCCCGCCCCUACUUCCCAUCAUCUGUUUACACUCUCACAAACAUAAUUGGUGCAACAAAAAUGGCGAGAAAUAUUGGAGCUGUCCAGCCGUAUAGAUGCAUCUAAUUGCAUAGGUGGAUCCCACCCGGCCUCUAUCAGUAGGACAAGCAGCCGCGAGACACCGGGCAGGGGGUUUCAUCUCUAUUCGCCCAUCAGACGGGGAUUUGAAGCCUGGUUCUUCUCUCUGAUGAGGAAAACCUGGUUCGUUUGUUUUCCUCCGCUUGGUCAAACACAUACAAUACCAUGGCCAUCCUCCAUGAAAUAAAACGAUCGGUGGUCCUGCCAGAAAACGUGGAAAUAGUGUCUAAAGAUGCCAUCAACGUUCAAUAGGUUACAAGAUCAGCCUGAAUGUUCAUUAUUGAGAAUGAACUCACUCAGAUCUUCUUAAAAAGUUCUCCUUUAUUAGCUGACAGUAAUAAUUUAUUUGUGAAAAGUCAAAUUUUUGUUUUUCCUGCUCUGUGCAGAGCAGUAAACAGGCAUCUCGCCCUAUCCAACAUGGCGUCCAGCUUUGCGUAUGCAACAAGCUAGCGUGGCGACUCUAUCUCAUUGAUCGACAGACCAGACUCCUCCCCCUUCCUAGCAGUUAGUUUGUCCGUCUCCAUGGUUACCCGUCGUAAUAGAGGUAGUUGUUGCCUCUUGGUGAAGAGUUCCAGUUGGGUUUAAAUCCGGAGAAGAUGAUGAGAGCGGCCGCUGCUCACACGGAGGAGCUGCGAGACCCGCGGCUCGGUCCGGUCUGCACCGUACCGACUGAGGUGGGCCGCACCAGAACCAGAUACAGGACCGUCCCGUCCAAGAACCACCGUUAUGUGAGUCCAGGAACAUCAAUAAAACAGAAUAAGGCUGCAUGGCCUAAAGUUAAAAUAAAUAAAUAGGUUAAAGGUCUAAUUAAGGACUUAUUUGUUGGUG
rnacentral:lncRNA from 1 species